AUAACGGAGCUUCCAUUUUAUCACCUUCGUCAAUGUGAAAGGACAGCUUUAUGAGCUGGAUGGUAGGAUGGAGGGACGGUCAACCAUGGAAACCACAAGGAUGACUCCUUCAUCAAGGAUGCAGCCAGGGUGUGUCGGGGUUUUGUGGAGAGAGCAGAGGGAGGAGGUCCGCUUCUCCGCUGUGGCCCUCUGUCAUACCUA